rnacentral:rRNA from 1 species
GAUGAACGCUGGCGGCGUGCUUAACACAUGCAAGUCGAACGAAGCACCUUGAUUUGAUUCUUCGGAUGAAGAUCUUGGUGACUGAGUGGCGGACGGGUGAGUAACGCGUGGGUAACCUGCCUCAUACAGGGGGAUAACAGUUAGAAAUGACUGCUAAUACCGCAUAAGACCACAGCACCGCAUGGUGCAGGGGUAAAAACUCCGGUGGUAUGAGAUGGACCCGCGUCUGAUUAGCUAGUUGGUGAGGUAACGGCCCACCAAGGCGACGAUCGGUAGCCGGACUGAGAGGUUGAACGGCCACAUUGGGACUGAGACACGGCCCAG